GAGUUGAAUAUUAUAGGAAUUAGACCAAAUAAUGCUGGCACCAGAUUAAGGUUACCCUAAUUUGAAUUCAUUUAUCUUGGUUGAUCAUUCACUAAUCAACAUGCUCUAUCAUAGAAAUGAUGUUUUUGCAACAUUUAAACUGCAAGAAAAUAAGGAAUGUAGCGUCUGAAACUCAUCCCAUCAAACUAAUCACAUUUCCAGAUCUCCCCAUAGUUCUCAAGCAUCUCUCAGCAUAAUAGCAUAAUGUUAUAAAAUUGGACUAGUGUAUUUAUUUGGCUUUGGUUUUUUCUUUUUCCUCAGUUUUUAUGUUUUUAUUCUGGCUUUGGCAAUUGAAUUGCAAACCUCAGGCUUGUCUUGCCCACUAACAAAUAUGAUAACCACAGAGACAAAGAGCUUGUGGUUACUUCUUUGGCCAUUGUUGAGCUUCUGAAUUCUAUUUUGUCUUCCAUAAACCUUCUAAAUGGAUCUGACAAAUUCAGCUAAAAAUUAUAUUCUAUGGCCAGCAUAUGAAAUAAGGUUAAACGAGUUUUAUUUAUUAGAUAAGGACCUAACAUCACACCAGGAUCUUAAACACACUUGAAAAUCUCAUACUGUUGAGAUCCUAAAAAAUCAUGAAUAGUUACAAUAGUUGAUAACAACUCUCAUGUACUCGAAUAGUCAUGGUUGAUCGGAUUCUCAUGUACUCUUUUGUGUCCAAAAUAAUAAUUUGUAAAUCAAAACGAAGAUACGUAAUUUUUGAAGAAUAAAAUCUCAGUUUAGUAUUCUCUCUAAACUUUCUAUCCCUCUCUCUCUUCUCUUCUCUCUCUGUUAUCUCUUCUCUCUAUAUAUUUUUCUCUUUCUCUCUCUAACAACCUCUCUCUAUAUAUAUUUCUCUCUCUUUCUAAAACAUUUUUCUUUCUCUCUCUAUUUCUUUCUCCCUCUAAAAUCUCCACUCUCUCUUUCUCACAAACUCUCUUCUUCUCUCUUCCCAACUUCCUCUCUUCUCUCUUUUCAGAAUCUUCUUUUCUUCCCUAAAAU
rnacentral:lncRNA from 1 species